UAGGGAAUCUUCCGCAAUGGGCGAAAGCCUGACGGAGCAACGCCGCGUGAGUGAUGAAGGUCUUCGGAUCGUAAAACUCUGUUAUUAGGGAAGAACAAAUGUGUAAGUAACUAUGCACGUCUUGACGGUACCUAAUCAGAAAGCCACGGCUAACUACGUGCCAGCAGCCGCGGUAAUACGUAGGUGGCAAGCGUUAUCCGGAAUUAUUGGGCGUAAAGCGCGCGUAGGCGGUUUUUUAAGUCUGAUGUGAAAGCCCACGGCUCAACCGUGGAGGGUCAUUGGAAACUGGAAAACUUUAGUGCAGAAGAGGAAAGUGGAAUUCCAUGUGUAGCGGUGAAAUGCGCAGGGAUAUGGAGGAACACCAGUGGCGAAGGCGACUUUCUGGUCUGUAACUGACGCUGAUGUGCGAAAGCGUGGGGAUCAAACAGG
rnacentral:rRNA from 1 species